GUCGAAAUCCGCUAAGGAGUGUGUUACAACUCACCUGCCGAACCAGUAGGCCCCGAAAAUGGAUGACGCUCAAGCGUGUGACUUAGACUCGACCGUGAGCGCGAACGUUGCUCUCACGGGUAGGAGGGCGUGGGUGUUGCUUCGAAGCCAUGGCGUAAGCCUCGGUGGAGCGGCGCCUAGUGCAGAUCUUGGUGGGAGUAGCGAAUAUUCAAAUGAGAACUUUGAAGCCUGAAGUGGAGAAAGGUUCCAU
rnacentral:rRNA from 1 species